rnacentral:rRNA from 1 species
CCUCGGGUGGCAGCAGUGGGGAAUAUUGGACAAUGGGCGAAAGCCUGAUCCAGCCAUGCCGCGUGUGUGAAGAAGGCCUUCGGGUUGUAAAGCACUUUCAGUGGGGAAGAAAGCCUUGGGGCUAAUACCCUCGAGGAAGGACAUCACCCACAGAAGAAGCACCGGCUAACUCCGUGCCAGCAGCCGCGGUAAUACGGAGGGUGCGAGCGUUAAUCGGAAUUACUGGGCGUAAAGCGCGCGUAGGCGGUCUGAUAAGCCGGUUGUGAAAGCCCCGGGCUCAACCUGGGAACGGCAUCCGGAACUGUCAGGCUAGAGUGCAGGAGAGGAAGGUAGAAUUCCCGGUGUAGCGGUGAAAUGCGUAGAGAUCGGGAGGAAUACCAGUGGCGAAGGCGGCCUUCUGGACUGACACUGACGCUGAGGUGCGAGAGCGUGGGUAGCAAACAGGAUUAGAUACCCCAGUAGUC